rnacentral:rRNA from 1 species
UGAAUUAAUAUUAUUAUUUUAUUUCUUUUGUUUUAUUUAUUUAUUUAAUAGAAGUAAUUUUUUUGUUUAUUUGUCUUAGUAUAUUUUAUAGAAUUGAUUAUUUAAAUUAUAGUUAAUUAGUAAAGUAAUUGUAUUAUGUAAUAUUUUUAAAAUUUUAAAAAGUAGAUUUUAUUUAUUGUACCUUUUGUAUCAGGGUUAAUCAUUAUUUUGUUAUUAAUUUAUCUAUCUCGAUUUGGGUUGAUUUAAAACCAAUUAAAAUUUAAUGUGUUAUAAUUAUUUUAUAAUUGGUUUUAGAAAUGAAAUGUUAUUCGUUUCCUAAGAUAUCUAGUUUCUUAAGAAAAAAUUUAAUUUUUAAUGGUUUAUUGUUUUCAUUUAAUUUUUUAGAUGUAAAUAUAAACCUAAGUAUUCUUUAGGGGAUAAGCUCUAGAGUUUAAAGCCUAUAAUUUUAUUUAAAAAAAUAUAAUAGUAGGCUUUAAACCAGUUAUCUAUUAGAUUACGUUUUAGUUCAUUGUUUUUAUAUUUGAUUUUUUAAUUUUUUUAGGUUUUGUAUUAAGAUUAAAUAUUGAAUUUUAUAAUUUUUGUAAAAAUGAUUGAAUUAGUAUAUUUUAUUGUUUGUAAUAUUUUAUUGAAUAAUUUAUUAUGAGGAAUUAGGCAAAUAUAAUUUCCGCCUGUUUAUCAAAAACAUGUCUUCUUGAUUAUAUUAUGAAGUCUGGCCUGCUCACUGACAAAGUUUUAAAGAGCCGCGGUAUUUUGACCGUGCAAAGGUAGCAUAAUCAUUAGUUUCUUAAUUAGAGGCUUGAAUGAAUGGCUUGACGAGAAAUUUUCUGUCUUUUAAUAAUUUAUAUAAUUUAACUUUUAAGUUAAAAGGCUUAAAUUUUUCUUUAGGACGAGAAGACCCUAUAGAGCUUGACAUUUUAUUUUUUUAUAAUUUUUUGUUGUUCUUUUUAUAUAAAAUGAUGAUGUUGUGUUGGGGUGACAUGAGGAAUAAUUAAACUCUUCAUUAUUAAAUCAUUAAUUUAUGUUAAAAUUGAUCCAUAAUUUAUGAUCAUAAGAUAAAGUUACCUUAGGGAUAACAGCGUAAUUGUUUUUGAGAGUUCAUAUCAACGAAGCAGAUUGCGACCUCGAUGUUGGAUUAAGAAAAAUUUUGGGUGCAGUAGCUCAAAAAUUAGGUCUGUUCGACCUUUAAAUUCUUACAUGAUCUGAGUUCAGACCGGCGUGAGCCAGGUCGGUUUCUAUCCUAAGUUAAAGUACCUUCAUUAGUACGAAAGGACCAUGCGGGUAAAAUAUUUUUUUGUUUUUGAUUAAAAUUAAUCUU